UAAGUCAGGUGCGGACAUAUUACGUUGCCAUAAAUGGUUGAUUUAACCUACGUACAUUCCAAAUAUUAAAUAAAAGGGGAACUAAAGCAAGCCUCUAUCUCGAAGUUUGAAACAGAGCAGUGAACAUCUCUAAAGCUACAAUGAAAUAUACAACGAUUCUGAUCUCAUUGGCAGUCCUUUCUCUUCACAUUUCCUGUAUACAUGGCUGGUUUUUUGAAAGCCCAGAACACCCGACAAGACGAGAGGACGAGUUAACAGAUAUUGCUGAGGUAAAUCCAGAAGAUCUAGAUGAUAUGCAGUUAUUUUUAACCUAUAAACCUUACUUUUUGGAAUACGCCAGACAGCAAAUGUUAAGGAAGAGAAAUCAACCAUCAAAACGAUCACUGCCAAUCAUGUUGCGACAACGGAAAGAAAAAUAAGAAGUUUGACUUCAAUACCAAAAAAACUGAACCAUCUGUACAAAUUAUUUUUGCAUAUAAUAAGCCCCAUUUUCAUAAUAAAAAUAACAAAUUAACAUAUAAAUGUAUUUAAGUCUCAAGCAGACAGGUACUAAAAACGGUAAUCUUAAUUGUUUAUUUUUAUACUA